rnacentral:rRNA from 1 species
AGAGUUUGAUCCUGGCUCAGGAUGGACGCUAGCGGCAGGCUUAACACAUGCAAGUCGAGGGGCAGCGGGUCCAGCAAUGGAUGCCGGCGACCGGCGAAAGGGUGAGUAACGCGUGAGCAACAUGCCCGACACUGGGGGAUAGUCAUUGGAAACGAUGCGUAAUACCCCGUAACACAAGGGACCGCAUGAUCCUUUGUUGAAGGAUUCAUUGGUGUCGGAUUGGCUCGCGUGCCAUUAGGUAGACGGCGGGGUAACGGCCCACCGUGCCGACGAUGGCUAGGGGUUCUGAGAGGAAGGUCCCCCACAUUGGAACUGAGACACGGUCCAGACUCCUACGGGAGGCAGCAGUGAGGAAUAUUGGACAAUGGCCGGAAGGCUGAUCCAGCCAUGCCCGCGUGCGGGAUGACGGCCCUAUGGGUUGUAAACCGCUUUUGCCGGGGAGCAAUAAGGCCCACGCGUGGGCCGACGAGAGUACCCGGCGAAUAAGCAUCGGCUAACUCCGUGCCAGCCGCCGC